AUAUGACAGUGACUCACAUCCCUCCCUCUCUCUAGACUCACUAGUAACCAGGUAACCAGGCCCAAGUCUACCCUGCGAAUCCAGGCCACAGAAAGUGAUCAUAUGCAGAUACUGGUCCCUCUGAAGACACUCAUUUCCUGACCCUCCUGAGGAGGUUCAGUGGGCCUCUGGGUUCACUUAGGGGCACCUGGAGAGCCCUGAUACAACCUCAUGUGACAACUCUGCUCCUGGCCCUUGCAGACUUAAAAUGCGGAGUUCUCCUUCAAGCCAUCUUCCAGAUGGAAACCCCCAGACAAAUCCAGGAGGACAAAAUCAGGCAGCCUGUGGCAAUCCAAAAUCCUGACCACACAAAGCUGUGACUGAAUACAAUACAAGAUCACAAGAUACUAGAAGACACACCCAAAUGCUAAGCUACAUUUUUGUUCCAGCUGAGGACAAGGAAUUUUGUUGAGGAUGGAAAGAGCUAUUGGGAAAGGAAGGUUACAUGACCCUUAACACCAUUUCUAAAAUCUGGCACCUGAGAAUUGACUCUCUUACCCACAAUGGAUCUUGCCACCUUACAAUGGAGGACCCAUUUUCUGUCCAAGAGAGCUUGUGAUAUAUUCAUUUCUUCAAUAAACAUUUAAGUUCCUACUAUGUACAAAGCUCCAUACUAGACACCAAGACAUCAAGAUUAGUUUACAGGCACAAAGUUAUCUAAAACACAGCUGAAGAAUUUCAAAAGCGGAUAAGCAAUAAACAGAGGCAGGAUGGUGCAUUGGAUAGAGUGUUAGCCACGGUCAAGAAGACUCAGGUUCAAGUCCCAUCUCUGAAACAUACUAAAUGUGUGAUCCUGGUAAACCUCUUGACCUCUUGGCAAAUCUCUAAGACCAUAAGUUGAAUAAUCCAAAUUCCCUAUAAAAAAUGAAAUCAUAGAUCCCUGACCUUGCUCCCCACCCCCCAUAUACAAACACAGAAAACCCAGGCCUAAUAUGUGACCUUUAAAGAUAUCUGCAUGGUCAAAAUAAAGUCUGACAUGCAGUAAAAAGAAAGGAAGGACUUUAUUGACGGGAGUGUUUCAAGACAGCUUCCUGGAAGAGCAGGGACAUUUGAACAGGACUUUAAAAGAUGUGGAGGAAUUAAGUAUGAAAAGAGAGAAGGAGGUUAUUUUAGGUAUAGGAAACACUGUUAACAAAGACACAGAGGCUGAAGAUUUUAAAGGGGGGAGGGGUUGUCUGACACAACAUUAUCAAGUUUUACUGAGCGUGUGGAAGGGAAGAAAGUGGGCAAGACUGGAAAGGCAACAUGGCCAAUGACUGCAACAAAGAAUGGUAAAUGGAAAGAAUUAGUCAAUCAUUAUCAAGCACUGCUUGAUGCCAGGCACUGUGCUAAACACUUGGAAUACAAUAAGAGACAAAAGACAGGUCUUGUCCUCAAAGCACUUAUGAUCUAAUGGAGGAACAGCUUACACUUUAAUGAAAAAACAACAAAACCAACAACAAUAAACUGAACCAUUAUCUAAGGAUAAAGAUCAAUGAUUUUAGAGAAAAGUUGAGAAAAUGAACCCCCUAUACUAUUACAUUUUGUGGAUGUAUUGGUUGGUUUUGCCAAAUUGCUUCAUUUGCCUCCUCCCAGGCAUGUGCAUACAUGCACACGCACGUGCACACAUACACACACACACACACACCACACAGCCCUUUUUAAAAAACUCUUUGUUACAAGGGUUGGCUACAUGGGUAGAGGAUGAGCUAGAAAGAAAGAUAGAUAGACACACACA